UUUAUAGAAAUGUCUGCAGGAAGUUUACAGAACUUUAUGACCGUGCUGCAAAAUCUGCCGCAGUCAGUAACAGUAAAGAUUAGAAACAUUAAACCGGAAAGAGAAUAUGACCAUGUUAGAGAAAAUAUUCGGAGAUCACAGAAUUUUCAUGUUAUACAAGACGGCAGCAGGGGGCAGUCAUUUGAGUUCAAAACAAUAAAACCAAGCAAAGAAUAGACAAGAAAAAACAUUGUGAAAUGAAAUGAAGAAGUUACUUCAACAAUUUUAAAUAAACAAAACAAUUUAAAUAUGGACAUUUAGAAACAAAAUGGCGGUUCUUCGAACGACAUUAUAGUCUUCAAUUAGGACAUACAUGUAAUUUUCGUUUCCAAUUAAAACAUUAAUUGACAAUUGAUUAUAGAUUUUAAAAAAUAACUGAUAUAAAUAAUUCGUGGAAGGUCUUUUACAAGUUUUUUACGGAACUUAAUGGAUAUAUAAGUUGGACAAGGAUGUGGAAAUAUUUCACAGCGGCAUUGGAACAAAUUUUCAAAUUAUUUAUGAUGCAGAACCUCUUGUGACGUUUACCAUUAUGAUUUGUGUGGUGAUAGAUCAAUUUUAUUGGGAUGAUGGGAUAUGUUUUGAACAACUUCUUUGGAAACUGAAGUUUCAUGUUUCUUGCAAGAAAAGGAGCUUCAGCAAAACUACAGUGACAAUGAUAACAACGCUUCAAUCACGACUUGACAUCUGGUUCCUGGCAUUACAGAAACAAACACGAAAGAAAAUUGCUCCAAGAUAGUUUCGUACAAUCUACUGAUUCUUGGCUUAACCAGAAACGGACUAGCAAACUUUUGCAUUGAUUAAAACAUUUACUUUUUUCUUCAAGGGGAAUUUACCUGUAAAAAGAUAUCACCACCAAGACUGCUGUCAAAUAUAUCCCUGAGUUCCUUCAAAAUAUGUUUCGUGAAUUAUGGUCAUACCGUAGAAAAUUAAAUCAAAAUUCAGGGUGGAAACCUUUAUUGAUUUUAGAACAUCUUAUUGAAAUAAUUAUAUUGUUUUAUCAAAUAUGGGACAUAAAGUAUAGAGGGAUAAGCAACUACCGACUGGAUAAACUGUCUUAUGUUGGCGUCCAAUUGACAGCCGAUCUUCGAUAUAGUUUUAAAAAAAAACAACAUUCGCCAUUUGUUCUAUACUUUUCUUAUUUACGCUUAUUACAACGGGCAAAAAUAUACACGUUUACAACUAUCAAAAAGACAAAUUAGCAACUGUUUGGUGGAAAAGAUAACGUAGCGCUGAUCUCCAGUUGCUUGUCCUAUUAUAUUUUGUUCUAGAUCCAAGGAAAACGGAUGUUACAUAUGUACUGUAUCUUAAGAGCUAUUAUCAUUUUUAUUUAAUUAGAUAUGCAUGUAUAAAUUUAUUUAGCAAUUUAGUAUUAAAAUGAUUCAACAAGAAUUAUUAGACAAAACCUACAUGUAAUUUAUCAUUGGCAUUAUUGUAAAAUCUGACAAAGCAUAUACUUAUAGUCUUAUAAUUACAUGUAUUAAAGUUUUGUAAUGUAGUUUUAUUUUACUCUUUUUUAUUGUUUUCUUUUCUUUUUAAUUUCUGCGUAAACGAUUGCAGUGGUGACAUAAAGGAAUAUUGAAAGUAUGUUCCAAAAGUAAAUAUUACAAAUUUGUUCAUGUUGUAGUUUGCUUUUUGUGAUACCUUUAUUUAUAUGUAUAAGUGUAUAUAACUUAAAUGUAUAUUAAUUGUAUUAUUAGUUAUAAUGAUUUUGCCAUGUUACAUUCGCGUAGUGUCCGAGUUAUACGUUUACAGCUAUUUAUAUAGCCCACAUAUAUACCCUGUCAAAAAUCUUUUUAACUUAGUACAUUUUGUAUACUAGUAUAAUAUUCAAAAACUCCUUAUGAGAUCCUUGCAUUCAAGGAAAUACAAAUCAUCAUUUAUUCUGCUUAGAUGUGUUUAUCAGUAGAAGGUUUGUCUGUAUAUAUUAAAGGCCCAUUUAGCUCCAAAGAGCUAAUUUCUUAACUUUUUAUUUUUACUGUCAUUUAUCCUUAGUAAUAGGUUAACUAUCUUUUGCUUCUUUCGCAAUUUGUUUAAUUACAUUGAUUUAGUAUUUUGUAUGGAAGUCAACAAAGUUAUAGUGAUUACAUUGUUCUACCUUACAACACAUAACUGUACAUUCAACUUUAGUUGUUUAUGUUGUUUAGCAUCUAACAUCAUGAACAUAGACUAGAGAGCUACUCUAAUACAUUAUUAAAUAUUAUUGAACACAUGUUUGACCUGUCUAAAAAAUAAAGUAUAAUUUCUAUUUUUAAGGCAUCAUUUGACGUUAAGAUUCAAAUUUGUACACAAUCUCAUUUUUUGCAAAUCCAUUUUCUAAUCAUUUCUGAUGGUUUUGAUUAAAGGCCCACUAGGCUUCAGAAAUGCUAUCUUUUUUUUCCCAACUUUUUAUUUAUAAGGCAUCUUAUAACAGUUUCGGAACACAUAUUCAUUUGCUUUAUACAUGCAUUUUCGUUUGUACUUUAAAAAUGCUAUUUCUUUACCCUAAAAAAAACUUUUUAUUUAUAAGGCAUCUUAUAACAGUUUCGGAAUACAUAUUCAUUCGCUUUAUACAUGAAUUUUCGUUUGCAUCAUUAAUCUGUUGACAGUUGGUAAAAUUAUAGUGAAUAAGUUAUUCGUAUGGAAGUCAAAAUACUUCUUUACUUACAUUUCGUACCCGUAAUUAAGACAUAUUAUCACAUGUUCCGUAUCAUUUUCUUUUCAGUUUUAAACAUCUCAAAUGCAAUAGAUCUAUCAUUUAAACAUAUUUAUUAAGGUUCCAAUUAUUAAACACAUAUAUUACAUUUCUAAAGAGUUAAAAAAGUAUGGAUUUCUGAGGCAUAAUGUGCCUUUAAGUAUAUUCAAGUUGAUAUAUAUAGAACCUGAAAUUAUAUCCAAAACAAAAAAA